GCGGAAAUAGCUCAGUUGGUAGAGCGCAACCUUGCCAAGGUUGAGGUCGCGGGUCCGAAUCCCGUUUUCCGCUCCA
rnacentral:tRNA from 1 species